AAAGAAAAGAGUGGACAGGCAAGACGUGACAGCUGAAGGGUGAAAGAAAGGUGAGAAGAGAGAAACAGAGGGAGGGUAAAUAUUAAAAUGACUGAUGUGCACUCUCUAAUCUCAAGUGCAGCUGGCAGCGGAGCUGCAUUGUCAAGCCGGUGUAACAAACUGACAAACCCUGGCACUAAUGCAACGUAGCAGAAAGACAGCCAACAAGGCAGAGCUGCAGACGGAAAGAGAGAGGGAUCAUUUCCUUUUUUCCUCCUUAACAAAAACCUAAAGACAGACUGCCGCGCGUACACAUCCGGUAUUAAACACCGAGGCCAGGAACUCUGUGUGAUUUGGAAACAUGGUUUCUGAUCGAGCCGUUGUCGUUCACUUGGUUAGCAUUAGCAUUUAGCAUUUUGUUCAGAGAAAUAUGAGUAUCAGAUGUUGAUCCAACAUGAGGUUCGCCAAGAUGUUUAUAGGAACCAGAAUUUUACGCAACCUUCUUCAGUUUCAGUGGAAAAAAAAGCCGACAACUCAAACGGCUAAUAUAGCAGGGUUAGCUAACAUGCUCUCAAUCACAAUUAGGGAAGAAGGCAGAGGACAGCUGAGUGGUUGCAGCCAUUAGUGGAGAUCAUUAUAGUUGACAAUCACACAGAAUGUGACUUUAUUAAGAAAAAGUGGGAUGGAGAGAGAGAGAACUGAAAAUCUGUGGGAUUCUGUGGACCGGAGGCUAAAACCUGUCAAGCUCAUCGACCACCUUUCCAUCUGUCCAUCUACUGGAUGACACGCUGUCUGGCUGCCCGUCUUUCUGCUCAACGGUUUGUUCCC